AGAGUUUGAUCCUGGCUCAGAACGAACGCUGGCGGCGUGGAUUAGGCAUGCAAGUCGAGCGAGAAAGGGUUCUUCGGAACCUGAGUACAGCGGCGCAAGGGUGAGUAAUACCUGGAUAACCUACCCCUGAGAGAGGGAUAAGUCUGGAAGGAUGCUAAUACCUCAUAAGACCACGAGUCUAUGUGAUUUGCGGUUAAAGAGGGCCUCUGUUUCAAGCUUUCGCUCAGGGAGGGGUUCAGGGCCUAUUAGCUUGUUGGUGGGGUAACGGCUCACCAAGGCUAUGAUGGGUAGCCGGGCUGAGAGGUUGUUCGGCCACACUGGGACUGAGACACUGCCCAGACUCCUGCGGGAGGCUGCAGUCGAGAAUCUUUCGCAAUGCGCGCAAGCGUGACGGAGCGACGCCGCGUGGAUGAUGAAGGCCUUCGGGUUGUAAAUUCCAAUCGCAAGGGAAGAAACAUAGGAGGAUAAUACUCUGCCUGUGUGACGUUACCUUGGUCGAAGCGCCGGCUAAACACGUGCCAGCAGCCGCGGUAAUACGUGUGGCGCAAGCGUUGUUCGGAAUCACUGGGCAUAAAGAGCACGUAGGCGGAGUCGUAAGUCGGAUGUGAAAGCCCUCGGCUUAACCGAGGAAUUGCAUUCGAAACUACGACUCUUGAGUACGGGAGGGGGGAGUGGAAUUCCUGGUGGAGCGGUGAAAUGCGUAGAUAUCAGGAGGAACGCCGGUGGCGAAGGCGACUCUCUGGCCCGAAACUGACGCUGAGUGUGCGAAAGCUAGGGGAGCGAACAGGAUUAGAUACCCUGGUAGUCCUAGCUGUAAACGAUGGGCACUAGGUAGUGGGGAUAACCGACAUUCUCACUGCUGGAGCUAAUGUUUUAAGUGCCCCGCCUGGGGAGUAUGCUCGCAAGGGUGAAACUCAAAGGAAUUGACGGGGGCUCACACAAGCGGUGGAGCAUGUUGUUUAAUUCGAGGCUACGCGAAGAACCUUACCUGGGCUUGAAAUGGCAGGGUUAACUCUUCCGAAAGGAAGGGAUUACUCCUUCGGGGGUCCUACCACAGGUGCUGCAUGGCUGUCGUCAGCUCGUGUCGUGAGAUGUUGGGUUAAGUCCCGUAACGAGCGAAACCCCUGUCCUUAGUUGCUAGCGGGUGAAGCCGAGACUCUAAGGAGACUGCCGGUGUUAAACCGUGAGGAAGUGGGACGACGUCAGUCAUCAUGCCUUUUGUCAGGGCUACAACGUGCUACAUGCCGUACAAGGGAGCAAACUGCAGUGACAAUCCAAAAACGCCCAGUCGAUGAGCUGAAUCCCUCAGAGUCGAUCCAUAUCCUAUCACCUGACCGGGGAUGUUUCUGACCUGUAACCCGCC
rnacentral:rRNA from 1 species